UACGGGGGGAGCAAGCGUUGUUCGGAUUUACUGGGCGUAAAGGGCGCGUAGGCGGUCAGCACAAGUCAGUUGUGAAAUCUCCGGGCUUAACUCGGAAAGGUCAACUGAUACUGUGCGACUAGAGUGCAGAAGGGGCAACUGGAAUUCCCGGUGUAGCGGUGAAAUGCGCAGAUAUCGGGAAGAACACCCGUGGCGAAGGCGGCUCUCUGGAACGAUACUGACGCUGAGACGCGAAAGCGUGGGGAGCGAACAGG
rnacentral:rRNA from 1 species